CUCGUGGCGACCAAUCACCGCUCAGAACGCUUUCCGGCCCUGCAAUCCCGGAGCCAAUCUCUCGCCCCGUUGCCAUCCCCACCUGAAUGUGACCAGUCUCAUCGCCAGACCCUGAAGAUCUUGAAGGGAGCAAAGGUCUAAGCAUCCUGUUCACUGCCGCAGAGCGCUUGCCCCAAGAAUGAUGUGAGGAGCCCAUAAACAAGCUUUACUUCUCCUGCACCACUGAUGGACAGCAUCGUGGCAGCAUGUAUCAAAGUGAAAAAUCCUUACAAUGCUAGGUUUGGAUUAUCCUCCCACUUUAAGUAACUAAAAAUUUGGAAGUGACGGUCUUCAGAAGCACUACAACUGGCAUGCAGGAUGCUGAUACCUGAGAGAAGGGGGAAAAUGAGGGUCCUCAGUCGACACUGCAAUCCCCCGCAUCGGUAGGCAUCAUCACUGCCCUUCAACCCCUUCGUCCACUCGGUGUAUCUUCCCAGUACUCACUGCCCACAGCAGCCCACUCUGAUUCCUUCUUCCACUUUUCAGCCCCAGCAGAGCCCCAUCUGGAAUAGAUGUCUCCACGGCCUAGCCCGAACACUGGCACUGGUUCUGGCAUUGGGUUCUGACAUUUCCCUGAGUGUCGAUCUCAGCUUGUCCUCUUCAUAUCAGCUGUGUGACUGGUUCAUUCCCUUUCUCUCCCUGUUCCUCCGUCUUCUCCACUGUGAAAUAGUAUCAAUCCUCACAAGCUUUCACGAAGUGUAAAUGAGAUGAUCCCAAUAAGAGUUUUCGCA